rnacentral:rRNA from 1 species
AGUCGAACGAUGAAACUCUAGCUUGCUAGAGAAGAUUAGUGGCGGACGGGUGAGUAACAUUUAGGAAUCUGCCUAGUAGUGGGGGAUAGCUCGGGGAAACUCGAAUUAAUACCGCAUACGACCUACGGGUGAAAGGGGGCGCAAGCUCUUGCUAUUAGAUGAGCCUAAAUCAGAUUAGCCAGUUGGUGGGGUAAAGGCCCACCAAGGCGACGAUCUGUAACUGGUCUGAGAGGAUGAUCAGUCACACCGGAACUGAGACACGGUCCGGACUCCUACGGGAGGCAACAGUGGGGAAUAUUGGACAAUGGGGGCAACCCUGAUCCAGCCAUGCCGCGUGUGUGAAGAAGGCCUUUUGGUUGUAAAGCACUUUAAGCAGGGAGGAGAGGCUAAUGGUUAAUACCCAUUAGAUUAGACGUUACCUGCAGAAUAAGCACCGGCUAACUCUGUGCCAGCAGCCGCGGUAAUACAGAGGGUGCGAGCGUUAAUCGGAAUUACUGGGCGUAAAGCGAGUGUAGGUGGCUCAUUAAGUCACAUGUGAAAUCCCCGGGCUUAACCUGGGAACUGCAUGUGAUACUGGUGGUGCUAGAAUAUGUGAGAGGGAAGUAGAAUUCCAGGUGUAGCGGUGAAAUGCGUAGAGAUCUGGAGGAAUACCGAUGGCGAAGGCAGCUUCCUGGCAUAAUAUUGAC